GUGCCAGCAGCCGCGGUAAUACGUAUGUCACGAGCGUUAUCCGGAAUUUAUUGGGCGUAAAGCGCGUCUAGGUGGUUAUGUAAGUUCUGAAUGUGAAAAUGCAGGGCUCAACUCUGUAUUGCGUUGGAAACUGUGUAACUAGAGUACUGGAGAGGUAAGCGGAACUACAAGUGUAGAGGUGAAAUUCGUAGAUAUUUGUAGGAAUGCCGAUGGGGAAGCCAGCUUACUGGACAGAUACUGACGCUGAAGCGCGAAAGCGUGGGUAGCAAACAGGAUUAGAUACCCUGGUAGUCC
rnacentral:rRNA from 1 species